UGAUUACAAACUCUGAUGCAAAGGGUGGGUUUUGAACCUCGAACAUAGUCUGAGGCCAAGCAUUCUUAAGUCAGCUGAUUGAUUAAUUGAUGCGGCAAUAGCUGCCAUAAGGUGGUUAGUUAAGUGUUUACCCUGAAAUAUGAACAAAGCCCUAUAGCAGACUUUGGGAAAUUGUGAUAUGCAUGCGUGCCACUAUUACCAAUUGUUUAAAUUCUAACAAACGGAAAUACAAGUAAAACUAAAUAAAUAAAAGGAUUAGCGGGCUAAUAACUUAC
rnacentral:lncRNA from 1 species